CACAUAGGAAGUUGAUCCUUCUAAAAUUCCUCAAAAAGUGGCAAAAUAAUAUGAAAGCUUUAUCUGCCCUGAAGCACUAUUAUUCAUUGACGAAGACGAUUUUUUCUUGACCUUAGUGACUUGUUAACUAAUAUUAUUCUUGGAUAUGAAGGUCAGACAACAACAACAAGAAUCAAACUCAAACUCAAACCUCUUGAUUCAAACUUACAACGGCCGUCGUGUGUUUUAUUUCAUUAAAUUAACAAUAAGGAUGAAGGCUUGGUAGCUACGUAUCGCGAUCGCAGCGUGUUUUGGUUUUUGUUUUUUUUGUCUUAUUCUAUUAACCAACACGCAUUCACCACUUAAUAGUGGUCCCUUUCGUCUGGAAUUGAAAGUGUCAAACUACACCAGAUGGUUUAAAUAGAUUUGUUCUGAGGAGGGCCCCCAUCAGGGCUGAAACGUAAACACAA